AAUAUAUAGUUUCUAAAUUUGAUCUAAAUCUAAACAAUUUUGUUUUAAGAUUCCUCGGGAUUGAAGCAGUAUUUACUUUAUUUGCGUUGACGCGACUUGUUCAUAGCUUCUUGGACACCAUGUAUUUUUCUUCCGAGCUUCCUUUAUCUUUGUUUAUAUAUGUAUCAUCUACUUUCUAAUCUCCUAACCUGUCUGAAAAACAUGUAUUCCGGCGACGCACCUCCAUCCUUCUCAACCGGAGGCCUAAAUCACAUCGAUCAAGAACAGUUCCAGGUCGAUGCACAACCACAAUCAUGGCAGAAUCAACCUCCGUCGCAAGGAUCCAUGGGACAUGGCCAAGGAAACUCAGUGAAUCAGUUCCAAGAUGGGAGUAGCUACCGUGGGUUACCCCAACCCGAUCCGUUCGUUGUCGGCGACAGUGAAAAAGGUCCGUCUUUCACAGCUCUCGGCCAUGGCCAAGGGAUCUCGUAUAAUCAAGAUGGGUUGUCCAACCGUGAUCAGUAUGGUGUCUCCGGUCAACCACUGUCUGUUGGUGCUAUGGUGAAGGGUGGGUUUUCUAAUCCUUCCGGCGGUGGUAUCGAUCAUUAUGGUGAUGAUUCAGCUCCGGGGCUUAGCGAUGUAGCUAGAAGAGAAAAAUCUCAAACUGGGGGAUCUUCUGCUGACAUUCAGGGUUCUUCGGAUCCACUAGAGUUUGUUGGGAUGAGUUUGGUUGGAAAAAAUUUCAAGAAGUAUUAUCCUGAUGCUUACUACAAGGAGAAAGAUGAUUACUGAUUUGUUAUGAUUUGAAUUGUGAAUCUGAAUAUGAAUCUGUUUUUGUAAAAUUUCAGAUUUAUAAUGUUUCAAUAAACAGUUAGUUUGAUUUAUGGUAUUAAUUUGUUAUUGAUGAACAAGUAGAAGAUGCACAAUCUAUCAUCAUUUCUCUCAAGAACUCCAAAACUUUAUGAAAUCUUAAAUGGCAAUCAGAAGAUUUACCAACAUGGAUUUGCAGAACGUUUAAUUUUCGAAUUAAGAAAAGAAUGGAAGAAGUUUGUGGAUGCCUGAAUGGUACCUAAUACCGAGGGUCCAGCAAUAAUCGGAAAAACACAUCCACUAGCUUUAUUGCCCUUUUUUUCUUCUUUACUUUUUUGUCGUCGGUGUUAAACAGUCUUAAAUAUAUUCCCGACAAAUAAGUUACAUAAAUGGUCCCUAAAAUUUAUAAAAAUUCAAAAUUUUUAUGGUUGAUAAUGUUUUUGGUGAAAAUUUUAUUAGGGUUUCUAAAACC
rnacentral:lncRNA from 1 species